rnacentral:rRNA from 1 species
UACAGAGGGUGCGAGCGUUGUCCGGAAUCACUGGGCGUAAAGGGCGCGUAGGUGGCGACCCAAGUCUGUGGUGAAAGCUCGACGCUCAACGUCGAGUCGGCCAUAGAUACUGGGUUGCUUGAGCACUGUAGAGGCAGAUGGAAUUCCGGGUGUAGCGGUGGAAUUCGUAGAUAUUCGGAAGAACACCAGUGGCGAAGGCGACUUACUGGACGAUUGUUGACGCUGAGGUGCGAAAGCGUGGGGAGCAAACAGGG